UGGCUGCCAAGGGCUCGCCAUACAAGAUCCGUCCUGUAAACUCCAGUAACGAUGGCAAUUAUACUUGUAUGGCCUGGAACUCACGGACUAAAAGGAACAGUUCUGCUGUGAAGAUGCACCAUGUCAUUGAUUCGGCGUCCUUGUGGUCUAGCCCUGCAGCAGCAAUGGUCGUAGGCACACUUGUAAGUGUAGCUGUUUUGAUGUAAAUGUUGCAGAUGCUCUUUCAUCUCACUGUCAAUGAGCACCACAUGAUUUAACUGAAAGUUGCAUUGGUGCAUGUGCUACUGUAUUUUCCACAGCUUUGUUUUGACUCUGCAAACCCCUCUGGUGCCCUGCACAAACAGGGCUCUAGCUGCAGUAUUUAACAAGUUUAAAAAAGUGAUGGUUGAUCCAUUCUUGAGCUGGACAGGCACAGCAAUGUUAAAAUAGGUGCUUUUUGAGGAGCAAGUCCAUUUUGGAUAAUCCCAAAUGUUUUCAGCUGUACAGACUCAAGAUCAGUGAAGAGUCCAACCAACUUUUCCUGAAGGCAGUGGUGUCCUCCCCUAAAGGUCAUUCAUGAGCUGCUGAGGGAGUUGUGAGCAGUGGGUGCAUCUGGGGCUUUUGAAUUGUUCUUGGGCUUCAUAGGAGGGAAUAGUUUGUCUUGUCAACUGUGUAAUUUUUUUUUAUGGAUGUGACUUGGCUUUGCAUGCAUAGUGGGUGGGUUUGCACUGUAUUUAUGAAAAUUGUCUUAAUUGGUAUUGAAAUGUGUUUUUAAAUGUUUAAUCAU